CUCUUAACAGGCGGGCUGAGGAAGUUGCCUCUCUCUGGCGCCUGCAUUCAAUGAACGUUUGUAAUGUUAGCAGGUGUGGACCUUGAGGAGAUUUUCUCUCCCUGGCUGCCCAAUUAUCAUUUUUAGAGAGGCAAUGCGAUAAUUGCUGAACGAUGUCACCUGACAUUCCUAGCGGGUGGGAGAGAGCCCUCUCCUGCCCCGCUCAUUGCCUAACUACCUGUAACAGGUGUGUGGGUGAGUGCUCCCUGUGAUGGAACGGUGUCCUGUUCAGGACUGGGUGCCACCUGGCACCUUGAGCUGCCAGGACCGGCUCGGGCUGCUCGCGAUCCCAAACUAGAACAAAUGGAAAUGUUCAGUUGUCUAGCUCACAGGGAUAUCCACAAGCCAGACCCAGAAAGCCUUUGCUACCAUUGAUGAAGAUGCCAAGUCCACAGCCCAACAGCCAGAAGACCCUUGGUCUAGUCAAACUCCCCAUCCCCAGGAAAUGGAAUCCAAGUUAAAGACGUGUGUGCAGGUGGCUUAUUGGAAGGUGAAGCAAACAGGGCCCUUGGAUUCAGACUGAAUUGAUAUCGCCAGGUUUCCUGUCUUUUCAGCUUGCAGGCAGCUGAUUGUGGGACUUCUCAGCCUCCUUAAUCAUGGAUUAAUAUCAUCCUCAAGAAAGACCCUUCUCUGUGUCUCUGGUAUUCAAGCUAAGUGACCUUACAUGUGCGUCAUUCAUGCGCGUGGACUACUGUACUUCAGCUGUAAUGAAAACUACAAGAGGAGAAUCACUUGAACUCAGGAGGCAGAAGUUGCAGUGAGCAGAGAUUGUGCUACCGCACUCCAGCCUGGGCGGCAGAGCGAGACUCCUUCUCAAAAAAAAAAAAAAAAAAAAAAAACCAAAAAAACAAAACAACACAAAACAAACAAACAAAAAAACACAAAAAGCUGCACAGUAUUUCUCAAUAAUGUUCAUGGAAGACAAUUUGUAGGAUAAUCCAUUUCUUUAGAUACUUUAAGUCCUAACAUUUGGUGAAAUCAUACUAUAAAAACUAUGCUACCUGUAUGCUACUACUUAACAGAAGUGUGACUUCCUGGUAUCUGGCAAGUGUAACUUGUCACUCCAUAGCCAGCUCUUUUGAAAAUAUGGUUAUAGCACAUGUUGUUCAUUUUGGAUAAUAUCUCAUCCCUCAGUUUUAGGAAUAGAUUAAUUCCUUUGAACCACUAACAUUUAUUUUUUGUUGGCCAAACUAAUUAUUUAUAAAUGAUAUUUUCUUCUUUUUAUCAAAUAUUCAAGUCUCAAAGCAAUGUUUUUGAUCCACAGGAUUUUAUGACAUAUAUUUGCCUACUAAUCUUAUGUUCAGUUUCAUCUUAUGAUGCUCACCCCAAUUUCCCUUUGUUCCAAUUUGUUUAAAUCUUUGCUUUUUUAAAUUUCUUGUAUCAUGAAUCAUCUGUAAGCGAUAUCAUGGUAGCCGUGAAAAUGCAUGGUUCUAAUCUCUUUCAAGAGACCGAGCUGGGGUGCCCACGUCACUGACAGACCUAGAGAUCCACCACCAUUUAGAAAAACAUGUUUUCCCUGUGUAGGCUUCUCAGGGAUGAGGGCUAAUCGUGGUGUAUGUCCUGGUGCUGGCCCAUUUCUACGGGAUACAGGAUGCCUUAAGAGAGCAUCCUUUGGCUUGGGGAUCCCUAAUCACCCUGACCCCAACUUGUCUCGAGCUCUGCUGCAGUGUGAGGCUCUUCCUGCUCAGUCUUCCACAGCAUUACAUGCUGGAGGACCUUCCUGCUGACUCAGGCCCUGUCCCCUUUGCCUUCAAGUGAGUUUCUCCCAUUAAAUCCUCUGUACAUCUAAUGGUUUGGAUGUGUUUCCUCUCCAGACCUCAUGUUGAAAUGUGAUCCCCAGUAUUGGAGAUGGGGCCUAGUGGAAAGUGUUUGGCUUAUGGGGGUGGAUUUUUCAUAAAUGGCUUGGUGCCCUCCUCGUGGUAACGAGUGAGUUGUUGCUGUGAGUUCAUGCAAGAUAUGAUUGUUUAAAAGAGUGUGGCAUCCCUCUGCCCCUUGCUCCCACUAUACCUAUGUGAAAUGCUGGGUCCCCCUUCAUCUUACAUCAUGAUUUGAAGUUUGCUGAGGCCCUCAUCAGAAGCUAAGCAGAUGCUGAUGCCUUGAUUGUACAGCUUGCAGAACCGUAGUCCCAAUAAACCUCUUUUCUUUAUAAAUUACCCAACCUCAGGUAUUCUUUUAUAACAGUGAAAAUGUACUAAUAUUGGACAAAUGUACUAUAACAGAUGUUCUUCUUGGUGUAUACUUCUUGAAGGACGUGAAUUAACAGAGGUGAUCUAAAGAAUAGUCUAAACAAGGCAGACAUUGAGAUGGUCCUUGGGAAUUUGUUCACUUGCUGCUAAGGUAUCAAGGAUAACAUCAUUUUAAAUAUUCUAAUUGCCACAGAUAGUUUCUUAAAUAAGAUGGGAGUGUGGUUGCUAAAGAUUUCAUGGCCAAAUGCAGUGGCUCAAGCCAGUAAUCCCAGCACUUUGGGAGGCUGAGGAGGGCAGAUCACAAGGUCAGGAGUUCGAGAUCAGCCUGGCCAAUAUAGUGAAACUUCGUCUACCGAAAAUAAAAAACUUAGCCGGGCGUGGUGGUGUGUGCCUGUAAUCCCAGCCAGUGCGGAGACUGAGGCAGGAUAAUUGCUUGAACCUGGGAGGCAGAGGUUGCAGUGGGCCGAGAUCGUGCCACUGCACUCCAGCCUGGACGACAGAGCAAGACUCCAUCUCAAAAAAAAGAAAAAAAAAGAUUUCAUGAAGAGUAACCUGAGAAAACAGGGAAGUGCCCUUGUAGGUGAAAUGACUCAGGCUGAAUGAUGCAGGCACUUGAAAGGUAUGGGGGAAAGUCAUGUUCAUAAGAAGAGCAAAACUGUGAGUUUACACCCAAAUAAUAUUGGCCCUGCAGAGGAAUAAAGAGAAACUGAAAAGCUUUUACCAAAUGGAGGCUAAUGUGAAAGUCAAAUGGGCUUGUUAAGUUUAGAAUGAGGCCCAUAGGUCCUUAUGUGGAAGCAGACAGGGUAUUAAAGAGGAGGAGCAGUAGCCCUCCUGAGUCAUUAGGUAAGGCAGAUCUGUUAUGCUAAAGUCAGGCACUGACUCGAAAAAUAUGAAGCCCCGAAAAUGAAACAGGCCCAUCUAAAUGGAUGUUCCUGGGGAUUUUGAUUCUGCAGAUGUGGCCCACGUCUUCUUAAUAGGAGCUAGCACUUCAACCUGUGGAUUGAUAAAGCAAAUGUCUUCCUCAGAAGGCCAUUGGCCCUCCCUAGACCUGUUAUAGACUGAAUUGUUUCUCCCUAGAAUUCAGUGUUGAAGCCCUACCCCCCAGUGUGACUGUAAUAGGAGAUAGGAUGGGGUCAUAAUGGGGGGGUCCCUAAUCCAACAGGACUAGUGGCCUUGUGAGAAGAGAGAGCAACACCAGCAAUGCACAUGCAAAGAGGAAAGGCCCUGCAAGGAUGCUAAGAACGAGGACGGCCAUCCGCCCACCAAGGAGAGAAGUAUCAGGAGGAACAAACCGGCCAACACCUUGAUCUUGGACUUCCAGCCUCCAGAACUGUCCGCAGCUUGGGCUACCUUCCAGCAUAAAGUCACUAAAGAUGUGCCGGGCAUGAUGAAGGAAGAAAGCGACUACAUGCUGAAGGAGAUGGUGCGGGGACUCGCUAGUACCUAUUGGCAGGACCUGGGGAACUUUGGUGGGUGCUUGAUAAUGGGGACUGGAAUAAAAACUGGCUAAGCAAAAAUUUAUGGACUUGGAUUCACUUUCUCAGAACACAGUUUAAUACCUUGGCAAGGAUUGCAGCAUAUGGGGCAAACUCCCUGCAGGGUGACCCUUAGAAACCUGGAGAAAAUGUAAAAGCCCUUUCUUGAGGAAUUGUCAUUUCCUAAAUUGUCAUGAAGAAAGGUAGAGAAAGGUAGAAAGAGGAUGAGGAAAGUGGGUACUCUGGAAUGGACACAUUAGGUGAGGACAGAAGAUCUGCCAGAGGUUAAGUAUUAUGACACGCUAUUCACUAAAACCAUUAGACACACCAUUCACCAGCUGGUGAAAAAGGCUACCAGAAUCACUAAAAUUUCAGUGGCUGUUCUAUGCAGGCCAGGGCUGAAGGUAGCAGAGGCCGUCACAGGCUGGACUCACUGACA
rnacentral:lncRNA from 1 species